rnacentral:rRNA from 1 species
AGUGAACGCUGGCGGCGUGCUUAAGACAUGCAAGUCGAACGGCAGUCUUCGGACUGUAGUGGCGCACGGGUGGGUAACGCGUAACUGACCUACCCCAAAGUCGCGGAUAACGAUUCGAAAGAAUCGCUAAUACGUGAUGUGCUGUCAGAUUGUGUUCUGCCAGUAAAGAUUGAUUGCUUUGGGAUGGGGUUGCGUUCCAUCAGCUAGUUGGUGGGGUAAAGGCCCACCAAGGCGACGACGGAUAGCCGGCCUGAGAGGGUGGCCGGCCACAGGGGCACUGAGACACGGGUCCCACUCCUACGGGAGGCAGCAGUUAGGAAUCUUCCACAAUGGGCGAAAGCCUGAUGGAGCGACGCCGCGUGAGGGAUGAAGGUCUUCGGAUCGUAAACCUCUGAAUCAGGGACGAAAGACACUUCGGUGGGAUGACGGUACCUGAGUAAUAGCACCGGCUAACUCCGUGCCAGCCGCCGCGGUAAGAC